GUAGUCCACGCAGUAAACGAUGAUAACUGGGCGUAUGCGAUAUACAGUAUGCUCCUAAGCGAAAGCGUUAAGUUAUCCACCUGGGGAGUACGCCGGCAACGGUGAAACUCAAAGGAAUUGACGGGGGCCCGCACAAGCGGAGGAACAUGUGGUUUAAUUCGAUGAUACGCGAGGAACCUUACCCGGGAUUGAAAUGUAGAUGACCGCUCCUGAAAGGGAGUUUUCCUUCGGGACAUCUAUGUAGGUGCUGCAUGGUUGUCGUCAGCUCGUGCCGUGAGGUGUCGGCUUAAGUGCCAUAACGAGCGCAACCCCUGUCUACGGUUGCCAUCAGGUAAUGCUGGGAACUCCGUAGAGACUGCCGUCGUAAGGCGUGA
rnacentral:rRNA from 1 species